rnacentral:rRNA from 1 species
UACGUAGGGUGCAAGCGUUGUCCGGAAUUAUUGGGCGUAAAGCGUCUGUAGGUGGCUUUUAAGUCCGCCGUCAAAUCCCAGGGCUCAACCCUGGACAGGCGGUGGAAACUACCAAGCUGGAGUACGGUAGGGCAGAGGGAAUUCCGGUGGAGCGGUGAAAUGCGUAGAGAUCGGAAAGAACACCAACGGCGAAAGCACUCUGCUGGCCGACACUGACACUGAGAGACGAAAGCUAGGGAGCGAAUGGG